GUCGCCGCAAAAUCGGCGACCGGGUUUAGCAGCCCGUUUCGACAAAGGCGCACCAGCGCCCAAUUCCCCAUUGCAGGCGUUUUUUUU
rnacentral:sRNA from 1 species